UACGAAGGGGGCGAGCGUUGUUCGGAUUUACUGGGCGUAAAGGGCGCGCAGGCGGCUCAUUUUGUCAGGCGUGAAAGCCCCGGGCUUAACCUGGGAACUGCGCUUGAUACGGAUGGGCUAGAGUUCGGGAGAGGAGAGUGGAAUUCCUAGUGUAGAGGUGAAAUUCGUAGAUAUUAGGAAGAACACCGGUGGCGAAGGCGGCCCACUGGAUCGGUACUGACGCUGAGGUGCGAAAGCGUGGGAGCGAACGGG
rnacentral:rRNA from 1 species